CAGCAAUGAAUUCGUCGGUCAGUUGCUGGAGAGGUUCAAUACAUGAAGGUGUGAGCAUGGAGAUAGAGCGCGAUAAGUAAGAGUACCAUUGAAGAAAUUGUCGGCCAGAGAAAGGCUCUGGAGGGUCCGAAUGAGACAGAAUCCAGUAGGGAACCCACCAAAAAUGGAAAACCCAGAUAAAUCAAUUGAAACAACCGAUUGAUUCUGAGAAUCACAAGUAACGCCAGUCCAGUUACAACAGUUAUGGUCAGCACUUUCAACCCAGUCACUAAGCUUUCCAUUGGGGUCAUCAAGCAUAGCAUUCUUGACACGGAUCAAUAUUUCAGAGUCACCAGCGAGAGAGACGACCAAAGAAGAAGAACAUAACGAGACAAAACAAAGAAACAGAAUACAAUUCUUGAAGCUUAUGCUAUUCAUUUGAAGAGUGAAAAAGAAAGCUAAUGAUCAAGGAGCUUAAUAUUGAUG
rnacentral:misc_RNA from 1 species